rnacentral:rRNA from 1 species
GACGAACGCUGGCGGCGUGCUUAACACAUGCAAGUCGUACGGUAAGGCCCUUUCGGGGGUACACGAGUGGCGAACGGGUGAGUAACACGUGAGUAACCUGCCCACAACUUUGGGAUAACGCUAGGAAACUGGUGCUAAUACUGGAUAUGUGCUCCUGCUGCAUGGUGGGGGUUGGAAAGCUCCGGCGGUUGUGGAUGGACUCGCGGCCUAUCAGCUUGUUGGUGGGGUAGUGGCCUACCAAGGCGGCGACGGGUAGCCGGCCUGAGAGGGUGACCGGCCACAUUGGGACUGAGAUACGGCCCAGACUCCUACGGGAGGCAGCAGUGGGGAAUAUUGCACAAUGGGCGCAAGCCUGAUGCAGCAACGCCGCGUGCGGGAUGACGGCCUUCGGGUUGUAAGCCGCUUUCAGCAGGGACGAAGCUUUUUGUGACGGUACCUGCAGAAGAAGCACCGGCUAACUACGUG